rnacentral:rRNA from 1 species
AGAACGAACGCUGGCGGCAUGCCUAACACAUGCAAGUCGAACGCUUCCGGGGCUUCGGUCGCGGAGGAGUGGCGCACGGGUGAGUAGCGCGUGGGAACCUGCCCUGUUGUGGGGGAUAACCGAGGGAAACUUCGGCUAAUACCGCAUACGCCCCGGGACUUGGUCUUCGGAUUAGGUCUGGGGGGAAAGAUUGAUCGCAGCAGGAGGGGCCCGCGUCGGAUUAGCUGGUUGGUGGGGUAACGGCUCGCCAAGGCGAUGAUCCGUAGCUGGUCUGAGAGGAUGAUCAGCCACACUGGGACUGAGACACGGCCCAGACUCCUACGGGAGGCAGCAGUGGGGAAUAUUGGACAAUGGGGGAAACCCUGAUCCAGCCAUGCCGCGUGAGUGAUGAAGGCCUUCGGGUUGUAAACUCUUUCGCGCACGACGAUAAUGACGGUAGUGCGAGAAGAAGCUCCGGCUAACUUCGUGCCAGCAGCC